UACGUAGGGCGCGAGCGUUGUCCGGAAUUAUUGGGCGUAAAGAGCUCGUAGGCGGCCUGUUGCGUCCGCUGUGAAAUCCCAGGGCUCAACCCUGGGCGUGCAGUGGGUACGGGCAGACUAGAGUGCGGUAGGGGAGAUUGGAAUUCCUGGUGUAGCGGUGGAAUGCGCAGAUAUCAGGAGGAACACCGAUGGCGAAGGCAGAUCUCUGGGCCGUAACUGACGCUGAGGAGCGAAAGCAUGGGGAGCGAACAGG
rnacentral:rRNA from 1 species